rnacentral:rRNA from 1 species
GACGAACGCUGGCGGCGUGCUUAACACAUGCAAGUCGAACGGAAAGGCCCUGCUUUUGUGGGGUGCUCGAGUGGCGAACGGGUGAGUAACACGUGAGUAACCUGCCCUUGACUUUGGGAUAACUUCAGGAAACUGGGGCUAAUACCGGAUAGGAGCUCCUGCUGCAUGGUGGGGGUUGGAAAGUUUCGGCGGUUGGGGAUGGACUCGCGGCUUAUCAGCUUGUUGGUGGGGUAGUGGCUUACCAAGGCUUUGACGGGUAGCCGGCCUGAGAGGGUGACCGGCCACAUUGGGACUGAGAGACGGCCCAGACUCCUACGGGAGGCAGCAGUGGGGAAUAUUGCACAAUGGGCGGAAGCCUGAUGCAGCAACGCCGCGUGCGGGAGGACGGCCUUCGGGUUGUAAACCGCUUUCGCCUGUGACGAAGCGUGAGUGACGGUAAUGGGUAAAGAAGCACCGGCUAACUACGUGC